rnacentral:lncRNA from 1 species
GCACCAAUAACCAUACACAGAGGCCAGAAUCUAUCUAAUAUCUUUAUUGAGGAAAUAUAUAAAGUUAAUAAAAGCAAGUGUAGAAAAUAGUUCAGAAGUAGACCUUUCAGGAAAGGUCAAAAUUAGUCCAAGAAAACAAUGUCCAAUAUGAAAUAUUAAGGUCCAAAGUUGUAAUCCAAUAACCGAAACACUCACUUUGCCAAGCAAAGUGAGGGGAAUUGACAAGGUCCUUUAGUCCAUGAAGCUUAAAUCAAGGCUAGGAAGCAAACUAGAUUCUUGGCAAACAAGGCUCGAUUCAAGGCAACAAGAAGCGAGGAGCAAGAACUGGGUCCGUGGGAAAUCCGUGGCGAGGUCCGGGGAACAAGGCAGGGCUGGAACGAGAAGCGAGGAGCAAGAACUGGGUCCGUGGGAAAUCCGUGGCGAGGUCCGGGGAACAAGGCAGGGCUGGAACGAGAACAAGGUCCUGGAAACUGGAGUAGCGUAGUCCACACACAAUCUACUCCCGAAGCUGACGAAUUGACUCCGCAAGGAACCCUUUGUGGGCAAGCAUCUAUAUAGGAUCUUGUUUUCCCGCCAAAGCAGACUUUCUCUGGGGAACAAGAACCGAAACCUAAACUGUCCAGAUGCAGGACUCCUUAAACUUUCCCAAGGGAAGUAGACUUAAUCUUCUAAUUGUCUGGCAGCUAUCCGGGCGCUUCGGCGAGUCGCCUCCCGCGCGUGUCUAUCUUGAUUAUAAUAAAGGCGGCGGGAAAAUGUGGGAGAUUUCUCCUCAAGGCUUGUUUGUCUGACUUCUUGUGGGCAAACAUCCUGCAGCUGCAAGGGCUCCAAAUCUGGCAGAAACAGUGGGAAACCCAAGUUUUCCUCUUCAUCUGCCACAACAGUACUAGGAACGGGACUACAUGGCCCAUAAGUCAUCACACUGACCUGCAUUAUAUGGCUCUACAGUGAGCAGAUACUGCAGUUUAAACUACAUUAUAUGACUCUUCCAGAGGUGUCUGGCUAUAGGAGGAAUGUACAUAGUUACAAAGCAGAAAGCAUUUUGGACAUAUGUGUUGUCGAAGGCUUUCAUGGCCGGGAUCACAGGGUUGUUGUAUGUCUUUCGGGCUGUGUGGCCAUGUUCCAGAAGCAUUCUCUCCUGACGUUUCGCCCACAUCUAUGGCAGGCAUCCUCAGAGGUUGUGUUACCUCACAACCUCUGAGGAUGCCUGCCAUAGAUGCCACACA